GUACUACUCCCUCCGUUCCAAAUUACUCGUCGCAGAAAUGGAUGUAUCUAGAACUAAAAUACAUCUAGAUACAUCCAUACCUGCGACGAGUAAUUCGGAACAGAGGGAGUACUUG
rnacentral:pre_miRNA from 1 species